rnacentral:tRNA from 1 species
GCCUCGGUGGUGGAAUUGGUAGACGCGCCGGACUCAAAAUCCGGUACCAGCAAUGGUGUGGGAGUUCGAUUCUCCCCCGAGGCACCA